rnacentral:lncRNA from 1 species
AUCACGGUCCUACCGACAUGUGAUGUCAUGCCCAGAGGCCCAGCUGUAAAAUUCCUCUCUUUAUACUGCUGCCUUUAUUUCUCAGCCGGCCAACACUUACGGAAAAUAGAACCUACAUUGAAAUUCCUGUUUCCACUCUGGCUGGAGACUUAAACUUCGUGUGAAUACUGACAAUAAAAACCAUAGGGAAGAGACGUCUGCGUCAGAGACCACCUUCAUACCUGGUGAGAUCUGUGCCGACUCCUCAGAAACUGGCACGCCAAAUUAAAAUGGGUGUGGUUCAAUCCUCCCUAAUGGCAACAGAGACCCCUCUAACUAAUCCCACUUCUCCUAAUUCCCUUUUUCUCCUUAAGAACCUAAAAAUCUCACCAUUUCUAUUAGCCUGAAAAUAACAUCCCCCUGUUCUUCUCUUCCUCCUUUAGCACUGGAUCUCGCUUAUAAUAGGUUUUAUUUAAUAAUUCUCCCCCUUACACUUUGUCUUACCAGUUUCCCCUCAAACUGAUUUACCUGCUACACAAAAUUAUUCUUAUUAGGCUUAUGUGCUUUUUCCCCCACUUAUUCAAUCUCUCACCUGGAUGGAUGCUCCUGUGGAAAUCUAUGCUAACGAUAUCGUGUGUGGCUGCCUGGAGCUACAGAUGAACAUUGCCCUGCUCAACCAGGAAAAGAAAGCACUGCAUUUAAUGUUACUAUGGGUUAUAAAUGCCCUCCUCUGGGCUUUGGACAUGCACCUGGUUGUAUCCAUCUAGAAACUCAAGUCUGGGCUGCUUAC